rnacentral:rRNA from 1 species
AACGUAGGAGGCUAGCGUUAUCCGGAUUUACUGGGCGUAAAGCGCGUGCAGGCGGUUCGGUAAGUCGGACGUGAAAGCUCCCGGCUCAACUGGGAGAGGCCGUUCGAGACUACCGGACUCGAGGGCAGUAGAGGGAGGUGGAAUUCCGGGUGUAGCGGUGAAAUGCGUAGAUAUCCGGAGGAACACCAGUGGCGAAAGCGGCCUCCUGGACUGCUCCUGACGCUCAGACGCGAAAGCUAGGGGAGCGAACGGG